rnacentral:sRNA from 1 species
CAGCAUUCAUAUAUUCAUCAUCAAUAAUCAUUUAUCUUGCAGUCUAGUUGUUUGUAUUUCCAAUGCAGCAGCUGCUUCUACAAUUGAAACUGUUGAUUUUUUACUUGUCAAACUUAGUUGUGCUUUUCAGAGUGUAAUAUUCAACAAUUAUUUGCAAUAUAACUCUUCUUAUGACAAUCUUUCUUUGCAAAUAGCAUGUUGUUGAUCUGAUAUAUUUUUCUCAAGAGUCUGUAGAGUUUGAAACAACUUUUUGUAGUUCUGAGGCUCUUGAUUUCAAUGA